UACGUAGGGUGCGAGCGUUGUCCGGAAUUAUUGGGCGUAAAGGGCUCGUAGGCGGUUUGUCGCGUCGGGAGUGAAAACCAGGUGCUUAACACCUGGCUUGCUUUCGAUACGGGCAGACUAGAGGUAUUCAGGGGAGAACGGAAUUCCUGGUGUAGCGGUGAAAUGACGCAGAUAUCAGGAGGAACACCGGUGGCGAAGGCGGUUCUCUGGGAAUGACCUGACGCUGAGGAGCGAAAGUGUGGGGAGCGAACAGG
rnacentral:rRNA from 1 species